AUUGAACGCUGGCGGCAGGCCUAACACAUGCAAGUCGAACGAGUGGCGGACGGGUGAGUCAUGUCUGGGAAACUGCCUGAUGGAGGGGGAUAACUACUGGAAACGGUCGCUAAUACCGUAUACCAUCAGAUGUGCCCAGAUGGGAUUAGCUUGUGGGUGGGGUAACGGCUCACCAAGGCGACGAUCCCUAGCUGGUCGGAGAGGAUGACCAGCGACACUGGAACUGGGACACGGUCCGGACACCUACGGGAGGCAGCAGUGGUGAAUAUUGCACAAUGGGCGCAAGCCUGAUGCAGCCAUGCCGGGUGUAUGAAGAAGGCCAUCGGAUUGUAAAGUACUUGCAGCGGGGAGGGGUUAGCCGCAGAAGAAGCACCGGCUAACUCCGUGCCAGCAGCCGCGGUAAUAG
rnacentral:rRNA from 1 species